GGGCGAGUGGCGGAACUGGCAGACGCGCAGGAUUCAGGUUCCUGUGGGCUCACGCUCUUGGGGGUUCGACUCCCCCCUCGCCCACCC
rnacentral:tRNA from 1 species